GGACUACUGGGGUAUCUAAUCCUGUUUGCUCCCCACGCUUUCGCGCCUCAGCGUCAGUUACGGUCCAGAGAGCCGCCUUCGCCACCGGUGUUCUUCCCAAUAUCUACGAAUUUCACCUCUACACUGGGAAUUCCACUCUCCUCUCCCGUACUCAAGCUCCGGAGUAUCAAAUGCAAUUCCCAGGUUAAGCCCGGGGCUUUCACAUCUGACUUUCAGAGCCGCCUGCGCGCCCUUUACGCCCAGUAAAUCCGAACAACGCUCGCCCCCUUCGUAUUACCGCGGCUGCUGGCAC
rnacentral:rRNA from 1 species